CGCCUCCCCGUUUGGAUCACGCAGGUCGCCGCCAGCGACCAGCACACUAUCGCCAGCCACCUGACCGUCGGCGCUGCCCUCGACCAAGCUGCUGCGCGCGCCACUUGCCCCAAUCUUGCCGCGUGCCGCCGCUAGCAAUAUUCCCGAGCCCCUGCCGCCAACCCAGCUUCAUGCUGCGUGACUCGCCGACAGCCUCACCAAUCCUCAGUUGCCGAUCCAGCUCCUCCAACACCGAUCAGUGCCCCGUGAUUCGACCUCCCGCCGCUGGCCAAUCUCCUUCAGCGCCACCGGGCAUGGCUCCCACCCUCCUCCCUCACGCCCAUGGAGCAGCGCUCGCCCAACGUGACCAGCUUCGCAUGUGUCAGUGGCCCACCCUUCCCCAUCGACAAGACUGCUUCUUCCUCCUUGAUCUGAAGACGGCUAGCUGGACGAACCCACGACGGCGUCCCGUUUCUUCUCUGGUAAAGCUCUUCUUUUCUUCUGAAUAAUGCUUUUGUCAAGUUACUGCGCUGCUGUAAUCUCUGAUUGCAUAGAGCUGUAGCCAUGGCGGUGAUAUUGUCUGACGAUGAAGAUCAGAGGCGAAGCCAGAUUUGGAGCAUACUCUGGGAUGGCAAUUGUAAAUUUUCUUGGUGACGUGAAUCAACACAUUUUCUCUUAUCUAUAUACAUCUUUUACUGGUCUAUAAGUGAUACUGCAGAGUUACCAUGCUACAUGACUUUCACAGAAACAUGAAUACGUCCUAUUCUCAAUAGAGCCAUCGCUGCCAAAAUCGAGGUCCGAUGUGCGCAAACUAAUCACCAGGAGUGCUCGAUGUUGUGCACCCGGACCACCACACCUCGCCUGGAUGGCGCCGCCGCCAGGCCGUAGUGACUCCCUGGUGCCCGCUUGACCUUCGUCGCACUACUGCACCACGCCUGGACGGCACCGCCGCCCGCCCGCAAUGCGUCACCGACACCCGCAGCUUCUCCUCGAGGCCCCCAGUAGCUUCGCCCAACUGGUCACUUCCAAUCACCGGCAUCCGGUUCGCCCAUCUGCCGCGGCCCUCCGCACCCACCAUAGAACGUCCAGCGCCACCAAGGAUCUAGCCACUGCCCGUCCUGCAUCCCCUCAGUUCCUCCUCCCUUUGUGGUGGUGUGGAGCUCGGUGAACUAAUCGGCGUGGUUUGCGGCGAGAGAGGAAAAGGAGGGGCUCGGGCUCUGCUUGCCUCUACCAUGUUUAUUUUAUUUUCUCCGUCAGAUUGGAAGAUCUCUAGCGCCAGCGUGAGUUUCUGGGAUUUCCUUGCGGUUUACAAGAUGAGCCCCUCUAUCAUUGGCGCUAAUGUUCCCAUUAGCAAGGAAUGGGUUCCAGAAGAUAGACAAGAUCAAGGACUAUCACAGGCAUCCAAGCAGCUAGAUGGACUCACUGGGAAUGAGGGAGUGCAAGCAGUAAGUCUGACUGAACAUUGUCAUGUGCUCUCAUAAAGCACCAUUCUUUGCUUCUACGUGAACAUGCAGUUUCACAUCUUAGGUGGUGUGAUGAACUAUUGCAACCUCUCUGUCUGGGUAGUAAUAUUGAACUGUUAUGUAGUGUCUUAAAUUUGUCUAUAUUUUUCUAAGAGUUCUUGCAGCUUAAUGAAAGAAUUUGAUCGUGUACUCAAAGAUGAGAAGAAAAAGAAAACACUUCUGAGAUCAACAAGCAGCUAAAUGACAAGAAUCAAUUUAAGGUUGGUAGUUUCUUUGUUAUAUCAUCAUCAGGUGACCUAUCCACAAACACUGAUUGGCCUCAAACAUACAGUGAGUUGUUUUUUCUGGUUUUCUGCAUUGUCUUAGAUCUGUUACUAAUCAUAACCUUUCUAUAUCUUUUAUAUUCUUUCUCCACGUGACUAACGAUAGAUACCCUUCUGUUUUCUUUUCCCUCAACAAAAUUUACUUCGUGUGCAGAACUGCAGAUCAAUGAGGUUGCUGCAGCUAGCAGUCAAAUAUAUAUGAUAUUAUCUUCAGUGAGGUAAAUAUUAGAUACUGUAGCUAAGUUCUGUUAUGCAAAUUGCCACACCAUGUUCUUUUAGCAAAUACUUUCAUUGACGCUUAAAUAUUAGAAAAGACAUCAUCCGCAAUGUAUACACAGAAUGUGGGCUUUGCUAAACAAACAUUGGUGGUAAGAAGUUCAGAUUAUCAGCACUUCUAUCGUUCAUUUCCUCAUAAUUGUUUUUGGUAUUCAACCCCAACAUAAUAACUAAUUCUUCUUGGACGUCGUGUUUUGAUCCCCAAAAGGAGUACACAGUCAUAGGUUAUACAGUUUUCUGCUUUAUCUCACUUAUUUACCAUAAGCAUUGAAAGGGAUGCAAAGAAGAUAGAUGGUGUGCCGAAGUAACUAUGACCUGGUUCCAUGUUGAGGUUGCACAUCAGCUUUUUCCAGAAACUAUGUUCUCACAAAGACUGACUUUCUGCAACCGUAUUAUUUUCAUCAUUGUAAAAGUAAUUUAAAUUAUUCUGUAGUAUAAGUUAUGGUGCAAAGUGAUAUAUGUUGUUCUAACCUUUAAAUUAUUCUGUUCUUCGGAUUC